ensembl:lncRNA
ACAUCUGCAGGUCCUGGCUGACCUCGGCAUCAGAACCUAGACGCCCCAGGUCACCGUGAGCAGCCUGGGGAGUUCUCAGGAAACCAGCCGAGGGGCGCAGAGGCGGGCUGGCUGGGCUUUAUAAAGCAGCAUGAAGCCAAAGCAUGAAGCACUGUUAUUUAAACUCUAUUUUACAGUUGGUAAAUCAUCUGCCUGCAAUGCAGGAGAGCUGGGUUCAAUUCCUGGGUCGGGAAGAUCCCCUGGAGAAGGAAGUGGCAACCCACUCCAAUAUUCUUGCCUGGAGAAUUCCAUGGACAGAGAGGAGUCUGGCAGGCUACAGCCCGUGGGAUGGCAAGAGUCGAUCCCAAGAGUCACACGACUUAGUGACUAAACCACCACCACCAAGGCAUGCUGCUAAGACACCGGGACCCUCUCUGCAUACCACCCUCCCAGAGCACAGCAAGAAUUGUCUGGAUACGGAUCUCCCUCCUCACUGGUGCUGGGAAGCCCCUUAACUGAACAGCUGCUGGGAGCCUCGCUGCUGCAACCUGUCCCUGACCACACCACAGACAGCCCUGGGCAGAAGACACAGCCAGCAUCUGAACUCAACAGCCAGGGACGUCUGGGGCUUUCAGGAGGACCUACAGUGAGAAACACUUUCUCUCUACAGAGGAAAGCAGUGUGCACGAAGAAAAGAAAACAGCGCUGAACCUACAUGUGUUCUGCAGACACGUGACGGAAGGUGCCCAAAAGUCUCUUGGGUGUUCUGCGCUGGUGGUGACACCAUGCCCUCCAAGGACGGCAACUCGAACACACACUGCUCCCCACGUGCCAUCAGCGGCCCAGCUGCAUGUGGACAUUGACUGGGAGAGGCCAGUGAGCCCUCAAUGGCCAUGGGGCUAGGCCAUGGCCACUAAGGGGACAACCCUCAAGCUUGGGGAAUUUGGUGCAGUCAUCCGAGAGACGAGACUGCUAUGAGUCAAGGUUAUAGAGGCCAGGAAAGGGGUGCCCAGCCCAGUCCCAGUGGCCUCGGGGCCUCAGCUCUGGCCUGGGGAUGAUGGAAGGAUUCCUCCACCCCAGGAUGCUAAUGCUCCAAGUUCCUGCUCUUACCUCCACCACCCCUGGCCCCACAAACUCAGCACCAGGAAGAAGGGGAGUCAGAGCUCAUGCGUCUCCAGUGUGAGGCAAACAGACCUAAAUACGGCACCCAACAAGGACCCAGAUCCCUAGGCCAGCCAUCUCCAUAUCUAGCUAUCUUAGGACAAAGUCUAAACUCCCUACCCGGCCCACAAGUCCCUGCAGACUUGGGCUUCUGCCAUUUGUGUCAACACUUCAUGCUGGAGCCAUCAUUCAGAGCGGCUCCUGCUCCAAAACGCCAUUCCCGCUUUGUUCCAGGUCUCUGACCAGGCGUUUCCCCUGCCCAGUACACCUUUCCACCCUUUUCAUCUGACCAAAUCCUGCUCAUCCUGCAGAUCCGAUAGACACUGCUUCCUCUGGGAAGUCUUCACUCAUCCCAAGUCGGAGCCAGGGACUAUACUCUGAGCCCAUAAUACCUCCUAAAUGCCAUGGCUGGGCUCAGCCCACUGAAUUCCAGAUGCCUAUUUCUUUGUUUCCCAGCAGACAACAAGCUCCAGGGGGCCAGAGUCAACAGAUCAUUGUACCUUGGUUCUCGGCUUGUACCUGCCUCUUAGGUUGCUCAUUCAAGACUGCGCCCAAAGUGAGUCAGAGCCCUGCCUGGGCAGGGC